rnacentral:lncRNA from 1 species
GAAGCAUUGCUAAUGAAGGCCCUAACAAGUCGCGGGAGAGGCUACCAGCCCCAGCCUUUGGACAGCAUGACACGGAGGGCUGCAACAAGAUAUUUACCUGUACCCUCAAGGAUUAUUCUGGGCCUGGAAACAGAGACCCAGAUGGAAGAGACUCACCACCAAGACAGUGGGAUCUGGGCCUGGGGUGGGGAAAGCUCCAGGACAGUGGAGUCCUAGAGGCCCAACUCACAGCCGUGGA